AUUGAACGCUGGCGGCAGGCUUAACACAUGCAAGUCGAGCGGUAACAGAGAGAUUCUUGCUUCUCUGCUGACGAGCGGCGGACGUGUGAGGAAUGCCUAGGAAUCUGCCUAGUAGUGGGGGAUAACUUGCCGAAAGGUAAGCUAAUACCGCAUACGUCCUACGUGAGAAAGGAGGGGACCUUCGUGCCUUUCGCUAUUAGAUGAGCCUAGGUCGGAUUAGUUAGUUGGUGAGGUAAUGGCUCACCAAGACCGCGAUCCGUUACUGGUCUGAGAGGAUGAUGAGUCACACUGGAACUGAGACACGGUCCAGACUCCUACGGGAGGCAGCAGUGGGGAAUAUUGGACAAAGGGGGGAACCCUGAUCCAGCCAUGCCGCGUGUGUGAAGAAGGUCUUAGGAUGGUAAAGCACUUUAAGUUGGGAGGAAGAGCAGUUAACUAAUAUUUGACUGUUUUGACGUUACCGACAGAAUAAGCACCGGCUAACUUCGUG
rnacentral:rRNA from 1 species